UUUACCUGAAAAAUCCUCGGAUGCUUAGCAAUAAACAUCAUAAUCUUGCUAUGAUAACUUGUUAGAGCAUUGAUUAUGAUCGACAUAUGUGUUUCCAUGUGGGUCUUGAUAUUGGUGGUAUAAACUGCAGCUCAUUGUACUAUCCUGCCUUAUGUUUUAAGGAUUUACGAGUUAGUAAUUGCACAUAACUGCAUCGAGUGGCUUCACUGUUGUUAUCAUAUGAAAUUAUUACAUUCCAACCAGGGUCUAGCAUGUUCUCCCAUUAGUUUCUUUCACCCUCCA
rnacentral:lncRNA from 1 species